rnacentral:rRNA from 1 species
CCUACGGUAGGCAGCAGUGAGGAAUAUUGGUCAAUGGGCGCGAGCCUGAACCAGCCAAGUCGCGUGAGGGAAGACGGUCCUAUGGAUUGUAAACCUCUUUUGUCGGGGAGCAAAGGAAGCCACGCGUGGCGUUCCGCGUGUACCCGAAGAAUAAGCAUCGGCUAACUCCGUGCCAGCAGCCGCGGUAAUACGGAGGAUGCGAGCGUUAUCCGGAUUUAUUGGGUUUAAAGGGUGCGCAGGUGGAAUAUCAAGUCAGCGGUAAAAUUGUGGGGCUCAACCUCUUCGAGCCGUUGAAACUGGUUUUCUUGAGUGUGCGAGAAGUAUGCGGAAUGCGUGGUGUAGCGGUGAAAUGCAUAGAUAUCACGCAGAACUCCGAUUGCGAAGGCAGCAUACCGGCGCUCAACUGACGCUGAUGCACGAAAGUGUGGGGAUCGAACAGGAUUAGAUACCCUAGUAGUC